CUUAUAAAGGAUGAAGGGGUUGUUAGUCACGACCAAGCCAUCCACGUCGGCUAUGAACAGUUAGCAAGCGGGCAGCGAGCGCGAGCGGGUAGCGAGAGAAAAAGGGUACACGUGCGCUGCGAGAGAAAAUAUCUCGUCUCUCUCCCGAGCGGGCAGCGAGAGAAAAAGGGUACACGUCCGCUGCGAGAGAAAAUAUCUCGUCUCUCUCCCUCCUCCCUUCCCGUCGCCUCCUCCUCUUCCCCGUCCCUCACGGCCUCCUCGCCCCCUCCGCCUUCAGCACCUCUUCCUCCCCUUCCUCUCCUCCUUCCCUGCCUCCGGUUCCAGGCAUGGAGGGAUGAACCCGGAGAGCUGUAGCCGGUGGAUGCAGCGAUGUACGGGGAGGCGAUGGCGAAGGGGAGUUUCGGUCAAGUGGAAUCUGAUGGGUUGCAGGGCGAGGAGCAGGGAGUAGCCUGGCGUAGAUACAGAAUAUCGGCCUCUCCCCACGACCCACCUCUCCCACCAGAGCACAACUAGUCAUCUAGGGUUUGGAUGGGUCUGGGUUCCUACAACGAUGGCAGCAGAGGCGACAAAGACCAGUUUGCAACCUCGCCGAACUGUGUUACUGAACUGAAAGUUUAGGGACGGCAGUAGUUCUACCACCGAUGGUGUUGCAUGUAAGCUGGAUGUUCUCAUUGUUCUGUUGGCUCUGAUCGGUGUGGAUGCUAUGAAGUUAAGGUUCUUAAGAUGAUUGAUGUUUAUAGAGGUGAUGCAGGAUGUGAGGUACAACUAUCAAAGUGACAUUAAUUUUGGUUUUGCUUCCUAUCCGCAGCCUCUUCUACACCAGAAAAGGAAAACACUCGACGAUCUGGCUCUGUCUCAGGUAUAUGCUCCCUCGCCCGCAAGAUCCGCUCGCUCCCAUCUAUGCAUCACGGCAGCACUUCAGCUCCUCUUGUGGAUUCUCACCAGAUCAGGCCACCUCACUCACCUUCAGGCUUAAGCAAUGCGUUUUGUUCUGCCCUAGCGCCUAGGUGCUUACACCCUUUCCCCCUACUGAUUUAAGAGGUGUGGAGAUUUUUUAAGGAGGUGUUGCUCGCUUUGUUGUUCAGAUCACAGAAGAAGUAUGUACAAGUAUACAUCACCGCUGUUACUUGCUUGCAAUUACAGUGUAUUUUAAAACACACACUUGGCGAACAUCUGCUCGUGCUUACAAUGCUCUAUGAGGGAAAUAAUAGAUCAACACUUGCUUUUUUGCUCCUUUUGAACAGUUGUCAGGACCUCACCGGCAGAUCCCUCAGCUAUCAGGGAAAGUAGUCAUCAGCGGAGAUUGAGAGUGCCUCUCCGGCAAGAGUGCUCGUGUCGUGGUGGUUUCCCACCAGCAGCAUGGGGGAGACGGUGUCCUCUGCAGCUAGGUCUACUUGCUAGCGACCUCACCGUCACCAGCCCAUCUGCAGCCUACUUGAAUGGAUAUGGUUCCUGAGAGACCAUUUCUUAUGCAUCAGGUCCUGAAGGUGGAUGAUGCUUGUUUAGAUAUCUAUGAUUCCAAAUUAUUCAAAACGGUUCAUGUUAUACUGGAUGCUAUUUUAUUGAGAGUGGCUUCGAACAAUAUGGCAUGAACAUAUUUGUUUUCUCUUUGGCCAAUAAUGAAAUGAUCUGUGUGCAUA